rnacentral:rRNA from 1 species
AAUAUUGCGCAAUGGAGGGAACGCUGACGCAGCGACGCCGCGUGAGCGAUGAAUGUCUUCGGAUCGUAAAGCUCUGUCCUUGGGGAACAAGGUCUUCGGACUUGACGGUACCUAAGGAGGAAGCCCCGGCUAACUACGUUCCAGCAGCCGCGGUAAUACGUAGGGGGAAAGCGUUGUCCGGAAUUAUUGGGCGUAAAGGGUGCGUAGGCGGCCUUUUAAGUCAGAUGUGCAAGCCCUCGGCUUAACCGUGUGAAUGCCUUUGAAACUGGAGGGCUUGAGUAUCGGAGAGGGUAGUGGAAUUCCCAGUGUAGCGGUGGAAUGCGUAGAUAUUGGGAGGAACACCAGUGGCGAAGACGACUACCUGGAAGAUAACUGACGCUGAGGCACGAAAGAUAGGGGAGCAAACA